UACAGAGGGGGCAAGCGUUGUCCGGAAUUACUGGGCGUACAGCGCGCGCAGGCGGUCCUGGACGUGCCGUGUGACAGACGUCGGCUCAACCGACGUAGGCCAGGGUACACGACAAGACUGGAGACAGAGAGAGGGAUGUGGAAUACCCGGUGGAGCGGUGAAAUGCGUAGAGAUCGGGUGGAACACCAGGGGCGAAGGCGGCAUCC
rnacentral:rRNA from 1 species